AAAAACACUUUUAUACACAUCUAACCGUGAGAAAAAGGUAACACUGUCCGCUUCUACUUUGAUGUGUUUCAUUUUAUUGGUUGUCUUAAGCUCUCAGCCCUGUUAUUUUAAAGGUAAAGGGGCGUGGUUAUAAAGCGUAAGAGCGACUACGGACUCAAGCGGAGGUAGCUAUGUCAGCACUGUGGAGAGUGAGUUUGUCCAUAGCUUCGGUUAAUGCCGUUAUAAAGUUGCCACAAGGAUGCCUGAGGAAUUACUGUUAUCUGGUCAAGGGGACCAGGAAACCCUCCUUGGACUGUUGCGGAGCCAGACUGAAAUCCACUCAAUUUUUCCCCGCCAAUCCCCGUCCAUUGUCCAUUGUCCGUCUUUGUCUUGACCAUGCUUCAAGCCCGGAUUUGCUCAGCAUCAGCAGUGCAUUUCACAGCAUGGGGUUAAUGUAGAGGAGGAUAUGUCGCCUGGGGAGGCUGAUGCCUGAUGCCAUCAGGCUGAUUGCUUACACGGGUCAGAGAAGAGAGAGAAUGGAGUUUCAGUGGAGUCGACAGGUUGCCACAUUCCCUCGUGAUAUCUUCAUAUAUGGCUGGAGGGAGAGAGAAUUAAAGGCAUCACAAGAGGCCCCUUUGAAACCUUCCAACUUAGUAUGAAAUCGCUGCGUGCAAGCACUUUGAUCAGGAAACGGUCAAGCGGCAGCCCUGCCGUCUGCCAUCUCUCCACAUUACUAAUGGGAGCCUCAUUCCCAGCACUGCGCUCACCCCACCACCUGACCACUGUUUGAUUUGCUCACUGAACUGAUCUUCAACAAAUAAGCUUUGUGCUUUGCCAUGAAUUACCCCCAUCUCUAUCUGCCAUCACAUGUGCCUUGCAGCACCACUCUCCCUCUUUGCAUGCACCAGGCUGCCCUGCACAUCCAGAGAUAAACAAUGUGGACAGGUGCCAGGGCUGAAAAGUGGCUGAAUUACAUCCCUGAAGACAUGGACCAUCUUGACACAGUCCUCUGCUGUGUAAGACACCCAGAGGGUUUAAUGAAGGUCUGUGACAUGAGGUGAAUCCAUGAGUUAUGAGCACAUUAAUAAGCAUCCACUGUAUCUAUGCACUGAAUUAAGGUGCUUGAAAGAGCAAAGACACAGAACUCAGCAUGACAGACAGGCAAGGAAAUACGCAUAUUUUCCUGUUGGAUUGCCUGUCACAUGAUAUUUGUGAUGCUGAUUGAAAAUUAAAUCUAAUUUAAGGAAGUCUAAGAAAUUAAAGAAAUUAAUA